rnacentral:rRNA from 1 species
CGCGUAGACGGUUUUGUAAGUCAGAUGUGAAGUCCCUGGGCUCAACCUGGGAACUGCAUUUGAUACUGCAUGGCUAGAGUAUGGAAGAGGGAAGUGGAAUUUCCGGUGUAGCGGUGAAAUGCGUAGAUAUCGGAAGGAACACCAGUGGCGAAAGCGACUUCCUGGUCCAAUACUGACGUUCAUGUGCGAAAGCGUGGGGAGCAAACAGGAUUAGAUACCCUGGUAGUCCACGCCAUAAACGAUGACAACUAGAUGUUGGGAGGGUCUGCCUCUCGGUGUCGCAGCUAACGCGUUAAGUUGUCCGCCUGGGGAGUACGGCCGCAAGGUUGAA